rnacentral:rRNA from 1 species
UGCAGUCGACGAUGAUGACCCGAGCUUGCUGCGUGUGGAUUAGUGGCGAACGGGUGAGUAACACGUGAGUACCUGCCCCUGACUCUGGGAUAAGCGUUGGAAACGACGUCUAAUACUGGAUAUGAYUACCGGCCGCAUGGUCUGGUGGUGGAAAGAUUUUUUGGUUGGGGAUGGACUCGCGGCCWUCAGCUUGUUGGUGAGGUAUGGCUCACCAAGGCGACGACGGGUAGCCGGCCUGAGAGGGUGACCGGCCACACUGGGACUGAGACACGGCCCAGACUCCUACGGGAGGCAGCAGUGGGGAAUAUUGCACAAUGGGCGAAAGCCUGAUGCAGCAACGCCGCGUGAGGGAUGACGGCCUUCGGGUUGUAACCUCUUUUAGUAGGGAAGAGCGAAUG